GACGAACGCUGGCGGCGUGCUUAACACAUGCAAGUCGAACGGAAAGGCCCUGCUUUUGUGGGGUGCUCGAGUGGCGAACGGGUGAGUAACACGUGAGUAACCUGCCCUUGACUUUGGGAUACUUCAGGAAACUGGGGCUAAUACCGGAUAGGAGCUCCUGCUGCAUGGUGGGGGUUGGAAAGUUUCGGCGGUUGGGGAUGGACUCGCGGCUUAUCAGCUUGUUGGUGGGGUAGUGGCUUACCAAGGCUUUGACGGGUAGCCGGCCUGAGAGGGUGACCGGCCACAUUGGGACUGAGAUACGGCCCAGACUCCUACGGGAGGCAGCAGUGGGGAAUAUUGCACAAUGGGCGGAAGCCUGAUGCAGCAACGCCGCGUGCGGGAUGACGGCCUUCGGGUUGUGAACCGCUUUCGCCUGUGACGAAGCGUGAGUGACGGUAAUGGGUAAAGAAGCACCGGCUAACUACGUG
rnacentral:rRNA from 1 species